rnacentral:rRNA from 1 species
AUUGAACGCUGGCGGCAUGCCUUACACAUGCAAGUCGAACGGCAGCACGGGAGCAAUCCUGGUGGCGAGUGGCGAACGGGUGAGUAAUAUAUCGGAACGUGCCCAGUCGUGGGGGAUAACGUAGCGAAAGCUACGCUAAUACCGCAUACGAUCUAUGGAUGAAAGCGGGGGAUCGCAAGACCUCGCGCGAUUGGAGCGGCCGAUAUCAGAUUAGGUAGUUGGUGAGGUAAAGGACUCGACCCAAGCCGACGAUCUCGUAGCUGGUCUGAGAGGACGACCAGCCACACUGGGACUGAGACACGGCCCAGACUCCUACGGGAGGCAGCAGUGGGGAAUUUUUGGGACAAUGGGCGCAAGCCUGAUCCAGCAAUGCCGCGUGCAGGAUGAAGGCC